rnacentral:lncRNA from 1 species
AAAAUAGGGACUGUGUCGCUCACUUUGGUCUAUAGAUAUAGGAAGAUGUGGUAUGAGUGCCAAUGAAACAACUCUCCAUCCAAGUAAUAAUUUAUAAGAGUAAACCAUUAUAGGUCAAAGUACAUCCUUCAACACGGAGCUUUGGCUGACACCGAACAGCAAGCUAUACAGGGCUCAAAAAUCACUAGUUAACAACCAUUCAAACGGGAAAAAAGAGAAACACGUAUAACUACAUAAACAGACAACAACCACUCAACAUCAGAUUCCUGACAAAGGACAUAUUAUACAGAGGUAUUUGUCUUGUAAGUAAUUAUUUACUGUCGUAUUAAAUCAACGUAUAGUGGACUGGUCUGAUUCUGUUGAUGUCAUUUUUGACGCCCA